GAUGAAGAAGCAGCGAAAUGCGAUAAGUAAUGUGAAUUGCAGAAUUCAGUGAAUCAUCGAGUCUUUGAACGCACAUUGCGCCCCCUGGUAUUCCGGGGGGCAUGCCUGUCCGAGCGUCAUUGCCGCCCUCAAGCACGGCUUGUGUGUUGGGCCCCCGCCCCCCGGCUUCGGGGGGCGGGCCCGAAAGGCAGCGGCGGCACCGCGUCCGGUCCUCGAGCGUAUGGGGCUUCGUCACCCGCUCUGUAGGCCCGGCCGGCGCCCGCCGGCGACCCCAAUCAAUCUUUCCAGGUUGACCUCGGAUCAGGUAGGGAUACCCGCUGAACUUAAGCAUAUCAAUAAGCGGAGGA
rnacentral:misc_RNA from 1 species